rfam:Dipodomys ordii contig_58627, whole genome shotgun sequence.
GGGAAAGUGGCUCAGUGGUAGAGCGCUUGCCUCGCAUGCAUGAGGCCCUGGGUUCAAUUCCUCAGCACCA